CGGCGUGGAUUAGGCAUGCAAGUCGAGCGCUCAUAGCAAUAUGGGAGCGGCGAACGGCGUAGGAAUUCAUAGGAACGUACCCUCAGGACGGGGAUAGCUACGGGAAACUGUAGGUAAUACCCGAUGAUCUCCGCGGAGCAAAGGUGUGAUUCCGCCUGAGGAGCGGCUUAUGCGAUAUUAGCUAGUUGGUGGGGUAAUGGCCUACCAAGGCGAAGAUGUCUAGGGGGUGUGAGAGCAUGGCCCCCACGACCGGAACUGAGAUACUGUCCGGACACCUACGGGUGGCUGCAGUCGAGAAUCUUCCGCAAUGGACGAAAGUCUGACGGAGCGACGCCGCGUGCGGGAUGAAGGCCCUUGGGUUGUAAACCGCUUUCGGAGGGGAUGAAAUCCUCGAGGGUUCUCCCUCGAGGUUGACAGAGCCUCAAAAGAAGCACGGGCUAAGUACGUGCCAGCAGCCGCGGUAACACGUACUGUGCGAACGUUAUUCGGAAUCACUGGGCUUAAAGGGUGCGUAGGCGGCGAUUCAAGUCAGAUGUGAAAUGCCUGAGCUCAACUGAGGCAUUGCGUUUGAAACUGAAUUGCUAGAGUAUUUCAGGGGUGUGCGGAACUGCCAGUGGAGCGGUGAAAUGUGUUGAUAUUGGCAGGAACACCGGAGGCGAAAGCGGCACACUGGGGAAUAACUGACGCUGAGGCACGAAAGCCAGGGGAGCGA
rnacentral:rRNA from 1 species